GGUGAACGCUGGCGGCGUGGAUAAGGCAUGCAAGUCAAACGGUCCUUCGGGACAGUGGCGAACGAGGUAGUAACACGUAGGUACGUACUCCAAAGUCAGGAAUAACCCGUCGAAAGGCGGGCUAAUACUUGAUAGUCCCUUCGGGGUAAAGAUUUAUCGCUUUGGAAACGGCCUGCGGGCUAUCAGCUUGAUGGUAAGGUAAUGGCUUACCAUGGCUAUGACGGCUAGGGGAGGUGAGAGCCUGACCCCCACCGAUGGCACUGAGACACGGGCCAUACACCUACGGGUGGCCGCAGUCGAGAAUCUUCCGCAAUGGGCGAAAGCCUGACGGAGCGACGCCGCGUGGUUGAUGAAGUUCUUCGGGAUGUAAAAACCUUUUAUAGGGGAGGAAAUUUGUGACGUUACCCUAUGAAUAAGGGGCUGCUAAACUCG
rnacentral:rRNA from 1 species